GACAAACGCUGGCGGCGUGCCUAACACAUGCAAGUCGAACGAAGCACUGGAGAAAGAGACUUCGGUCAAUGACUCCUUUGACUUAGUGGCGGACGGGUGAGUAAUGCGUGAGCAACCUGCCUUGGAGAGGGGGACAACAGCUGGAAACGGCUGCUAAUACCGCAUGAUGUUGUCGGGGGGCAUCUUCUGACAACCAAAGAUUUAUCGCUCUGAGAUGGGCUCACGUCUGAUUAGUUAGUUGGUAGGGUAACGGCCUACCAAGACCGCGAUCAGUAGCCGGACUGAGAGGUUGAACGGCCACAUUGGGACUGAGAUACGGCCCAG
rnacentral:rRNA from 1 species